CGUAGUCAGGAUCGAACCCGGGUCUCUGGUGCUGUGAGGCAGAGCUUGCUAACAUUGCGUAAUGGGAAUAACAUGACUUGUGAUGAAAAUGUUGACUUGAAUGUCAGAAUACAGAAGAGUCCAGCACAGGAACAAGC